rnacentral:snRNA from 1 species
GGAGCUUUCCCCGGGCGU